rnacentral:rRNA from 1 species
CCUACGGGAGGCAGCAGUAAGGAAUCUUCCACAAUGGACGAAAGUCUGAUGGAGCAACGCCGCGUGCAGGAUGAAGGCUUUCGGGUCGUAAACUGCUUUUAUAUGGGAAGAUUAUGACGGUACCAUAUGAAUAAGGACCGGCUAACUACGUGCCAGCAGCCGCGGUAAUACGUAGGGUCCAAGCGAUAUCCGGAAUUACUGGGCGUAAAGCGUGUGUAGGUGGAUUAAUAAGUGUGAUGCGAAAUCCGGCGGCUCAACCGUUUGGACUGUGCCGCAUACUGUUAGUCUAGAGGACGGCAGAGGUAAGUGGAAUUACGGGUGUAGCAGUGAAAUGCGUAGAUAUCCGUAGGAACACCAAUGGCGAAGGCAGCUUACUGGGCCACACCUGACACUGAGACACGGAAGCGUGGGGAGCGAACAGGAUUAGAUACCCUGGUAGUCCACGCCGUAAACGAUGCAUACUAUUAGUAUGGGGUAUCGACCCCCUGUGCUGAGAAGCUAACGCGAUAAGUAUGCCGCCUGGGGAGUACGAGCGCAAGCUUAAAACUCAAAUUGUAUUAGAGNGNGNGNGNGCGAGACGACGACGAGGAGAGG